CAAUGAAUCUUUUAGAAUUUGUCUAGCAGAUUUUCUGGUUCUUUCUGGAAACACCCCC
rnacentral:snRNA from 1 species